rnacentral:rRNA from 1 species
UACCCGCAGCUCAAGUGGUGGUCAUUAUUAUUGGGCCUAAAGCGUCCGUAGCUGGCCUGUUAGAUGCCUGGGUAAAUCGAUGCGCUCAACGUAUCGAAUUCCGGGUAGACCGGCAGGCUCGGGACCGGGAGAGGUGUAGGCUACUCGAGGGGUAGGGGUAAAAUCCUGUAAUCCUUCGGGGAGGACCAGUGGCGAAGGCGCUACACUAGAACGGCUCUGACAGUGAGGGACGAAGCCCUGGGGCGCAAACCGG